rnacentral:rRNA from 1 species
UUUGCUCCUGGAUAGCGGCGGAGGGUGAUAAUGCCAGGAAUCUGCCUGGUAGUGGGGGAAACGUCCGGAAACGGGCGCUAAUACCGAUACGUCCUGAGGGAGAAAGUGGGGGAUCUUCGGACCUCACGCUAUCAGAUGAGCCUAGGUCGGAUUAGCUAGUUGGUGGGGUAAAGGCCUACCAAGGCGACGAUCCGUAACUGGUCUGAGAGGAUGAUCAGUCACACUGGAACUGAGACACGGUCCAGACUCCUACGGA